GCCUAAGGGCUGAACUGGUGACUUGGAAAAGUGGUAAGUUCUAGUUAGAUAAUAAAAAGGUUAUCUUUAGAAUUUUAUUUUGUCAAAGAAUAAAGCUUUGUUUAUAUAUUUAUCAUGACAAUAUAUAUAUUUAGUCUUGACCAAUUACGUGCCAGCAGUCGCGGUAAUACGUAAGAGACAAGUGUUAUUCAUCUUAAUUAGGUUUAAAGGGUACUUAGACGGUCAAAGUAUAAAGUACUAGACUAGAGUUGUAUAUAAGAGAACAGUACUUAAGGAGGAGGGAUAAAAUCCGUUUAUACCAAAGGGACUCGGUUAAUGCGAAGGCAGCUCUCUAGGUCACAACUGACGUUAAAGGACGAAGGCACAGAGAACAAAAAGGAUUUGAUACCCAAGUAGUCUUUGCAGUAAAUGCUGAACGCCAUAGGUUAGCUCCAGUUAGUCUAUAAAUGAAAGUGUAAGCGUUUCACCUCAAGAGUAAUGUGGCAACGCAGGAACUGAAAUCACUAGACCGUUUCUAACACCAGUAGUGAAGUAU
rnacentral:rRNA from 1 species